GCCGAUGUAGCUCAGUUGGUAGAGCAACGCUUUCGUAAAGCGUAGGUCCCCGGUUCGAGUCCGGGCAUCGGCUCCA
rnacentral:tRNA from 3 species